GGUCAAGUGAAGAAGCGCAUACGGUGGAUGCCUUGGCAGUCAGAGGCGAUGAAAGACGUGGUAGCCUGCGAAAAGCUUCGGGGAGUCGGCAAACAGACUGUGAUCCGGAGAUGUCUGAAUGGGGGAACCCAGCCAUCAUAAGAUGGUUAUCUUGUACUGAAUACAUAGGUGCAAGAGGCGAACCAGGGGAACUGAAACAUCUAAGUACCCUGAGGAAAAGAAAUCAACCGAGAUUCCCUUAGUAGUGGCGAGCGAACGGGGACCAGCCCUUAAGUUGUAUUGAGAUUAGCGGAACGUUCUGGAAAGGACGGCCAUAGUGGGUGAUAGCCCUGUACGCGAAAAUCCCUUUGCAAUGAAAUCGAGUAGGACGGGGCACGAGAAACCUUGUCUGAAUAUGGGGGGACCAUCCUCCAAGGCUAAAUACUACUGACUGACCGAUAGUGAACCAGUACCGUGAGGGAAAGGCGAAAAGAACCGCGGAGAGCGGAGUGAAAUAGAUCCUGAAACCGUAUGCGUACAAGCAGUGGGAGCCCACUUUGUUGGGUGACUGCGUACCUUUUGUAUAAUGGGUCAGCGACUUAUUUUCAGUGGCGAGCUUAACCGAAUAGGGGAGGCGUAGCGAAAGCGAGUCUUAAUAGGGCGUCUAGUCGCUGGGAAUAGACCCGAAACCGGGCGAUCUAUCCAUGGGCAGGUUGAAGGUUGGGUAACACUAACUGGAGGACCGAACCGACUACCGUUGAAAAGUUAGCGGAUGACCUGUGGAUCGGAGUGAAAGGCUAAUCAAGCUCGGAGAUAGCUGGUUCUCCUCGAAAGCUAUUUAGGUAGCGCCUCAUGUAUCACUGUAGGGGGUAGAGCACUGUUUCGGCUAGGGGGUCAUCCCGACUUACCAAACCGAUGCAAACUCCGAAUACCUACAAGUGCCGAGCAUGGGAGACACACGGCGGGUGCUAACGUCCGUCGUGAAAAGGGAAACAACCCAGACCGUCAGCUAAGGUCCCAAAGUCAUGGUUAAGUGGGAAACGAUGUGGGAAGGCUUAGACAGCUAGGAGGUUGGCUUAGAAGCAGCCACCCUUUAAAGAAAGCGUAAUAGCUCACUAGUCGAGUCGGCCUGCGCGGAAGAUGUAACGGGGCUCAAACCAUGCACCGAAGCUACGGGUAUCAUCUUAUGAUGAUGCGGUAGAGGAGCGUUCUGUAAGCCUGUGAAGGUGAGUUGAGAAGCUUGCUGGAGGUAUCAGAAGUGCGAAUGCUGACAUGAGUAACGACAAUGGGUGUGAAAAACACCCACGCCGAAAGACCAAGGUUUCCUGCGCAACGUUAAUCGACGCAGGGUUAGUCGGUCCCUAAGGCGAGGCUGAAAAGCGUAGUCGAUGGAAAACAGGUUAAUAUUCCUGUACUUCUGGUUAUUGCGAUGGAGGGACGGAGAAGGCUAGGCCAGCCUGGCGUUGGUUGUCCAGGUUUAAGGUGGUAGGCUGAGAUCUUAGGUAAAUCCGGGAUCUUAAGGCCGAGAGCUGAUGACGAGUGUUCUUUUAGAACACGAAGUGGUUGAUGCCAUGCUUCCAAGAAAAGCUUCUAAGCUUCAGGUAACCAGGAACCGUACCCCAAACCGACACAGGUGGUUGGGUAGAGAAUACCAAGGCGCUUGAGAGAACUCGGGUGAAGGAACUAGGCAAAAUGGCACCGUAACUUCGGGAGAAGGUGCGCCGGUGGAGGUGAAGCAUUUACUGCGUAAGCCCCUGCCGGUCGAAGAUACCAGGCCGCUGCGACUGUUUAUUAAAAACACAGCACUCUGCAAACACGAAAGUGGACGUAUAGGGUGUGACGCCUGCCCGGUGCCGGAAGGUUAAUUGAUGGGGUUAGCGCAAGCGAAGCUCUUGAUCGAAGCCCCGGUAAACGGCGGCCGUAACUAUAACGGUCCUAAGGUAGCGAAAUUCCUUGUCGGGUAAGUUCCGACCUGCACGAAUGGCGUAACGAUGGCGGCGCUGUCUCCACCCGAGACUCAGUGAAAUUGAAAUCGCUGUGAAGAUGCAGUGUAUCCGCGGCUAGACGGAAAGACCCCGUGAACCUUUACUAUAGCUUUGCACUGGACUUUGAAUUUGCUUGUGUAGGAUAGGUGGGAGGCUUUGAAGCGUGGACGCCAGUCUGCGUGGAGCCAACCUUGAAAUACCACCCUGGCAACUUUGAGGUUCUAACUCAGGUCCGUUAUCCGGAUCGAGGACAGUGUAUGGUGGGUAGUUUGACUGGGGCGGUCUCCUCCUAAAGAGUAACGGAGGAGUACGAAGGUGCGCUCAGACCGGUCGGAAAUCGGUCGUAGAGUAUAAAGGCAAAAGCGCGCUUGACUGCGAGACAGACACGUCGAGCAGGUACGAAAGUAGGUCUUAGUGAUCCGGUGGUUCUGUAUGGAAGGGCCAUCGCUCAACGGAUAAAAGGUACUCCGGGGAUAACAGGCUGAUACCGCCCAAGAGUUCAUAUCGACGGCGGUGUUUGGCACCUCGAUGUCGGCUCAUCACAUCCUGGGGCUGAAGCCGGUCCCAAGGGUAUGGCUGUUCGCCAUUUAAAGUGGUACGCGAGCUGGGUUUAGAACGUCGUGAGACAGUUCGGUCCCUAUCUGCCGUGGACGUUUGAGAUUUGAGAGGGGCUGCUCCUAGUACGAGAGGACCGGAGUGGACGAACCUCUGGUGUUCCGGUUGUCACGCCAGUGGCAUUGCCGGGUAGCUAUGUUCGGAAAAGAUAACCGCUGAAAGCAUCUAAGCGGGAAACUUGCCUCAAGAUGAGAUCUCACUGGAACCUUGAGUUCCCUGAAGGGCCGUCGAAGACUACGACGUUGAUAGGUUGGGUGUGUAAGCGCUGUGAGGCGUUGAGCUAACCAAUACUAAUUGCCCGUGAGGCUUGACCAUAUAACACCC
rnacentral:rRNA from 1 species